rnacentral:rRNA from 1 species
GAUGAACGCUGGCGGCGUGCCUAAUACAUGCCAGUCGAGCGAACGGACGAGAAGCUUGCUUCUCUGAUGUUAGCGGCGGACGGGUGAGUAACACGUGGAUAACCUACCUAUAAGACUGGGAUAACUUCGGGAAACCGGAGCUAAUACCGGAUGAUAUUUUGAACCGCAUGGUUCAAAAGUGAAAGACGGUCUUGCUGUCACUUAUAGAUGGAUCCGCGCUGCAUUAGCUAGUUGGUAAGGUAACGGCUUACCAAGGCAACGAUGCAUAGCCGACCUGAGAGGGUGAUCGGCCACACUGGAACUGAGACACGGUCCAGACUCCUACGGGAGGCAGCAGUAGGGAAUCUUCCGCAAUGGGCGAAAGCCUGACGGAGCAACGCCGCGUGAGUGAUGAAGGUCUUCGGAUCGUAAAACUCUGUUAUUAGGGAAGAACAUAUGUGUAAGUAACUGUACACAUCUUGACGGUACCUAAUCAGAAAGCCACGGCUAACUACGUG